rnacentral:lncRNA from 1 species
GACCACUGUGCUUCUCAAGGAGCUUGAGCACAAGUACUGCUCCUCAGAGUCGUGCCGAGGAGAGGCGAAGGCGACGAUUUGGACUCGAAACUAUACAAUUUUGGAUAUGAAGGGUGCCUGGGGGCGACGUCUCACGGCCUUGCUGCUCCACCAAUCAAAGAAGGCUGCAGAAUGUUAUUCCCAGGCAUAUGUCCUGGUUUCUUUCCUGCAGAUAUGGGUUUAAUCAAAGAUGUCGGCGCUUAUUACGUUGAUUGUCCUCCUCCUCCGCUAAUGCAAGAGCCGCCAAAAGCAAUCUCCUGCAUGGAUCCGUUUUGCAUUCAUUGUUUUAUUAAUCUUUUAUUCAAAUUUCACCCAUUUUCAAAAAGGUAACGGCUUCCUGAGAAGUGUAAUCGUACGGAAUGAGGUUUUCAC